CCCCCAUUGGAAAUUUUCACUAGAAACUAUAGUGACUGUUCGGAGCCUUCAGCCACACAACAAUCUAAAGAAGGAUACAUAAAUCUGAAAAGAAAUAGACAAGUGCUAUUGCUAUUAAUUUCAUCACAGAAGCUCUCUACAAGAUUCUCAAAUGAUCUUAAUAGUUUUGGGCUGUCGGACACAACUUUCAUGCUGUAGUGAUAGAUAAGUUAAAAACAGCACUUCCAUAUCCUGUCACUAAUGAUCUGAGGGUGAUUGCUGUCGUUCUUCUGAUCCCUGCUGUGGCCAUAUCUGUUGCGCCAUAUAGGCAUGAGACUGCUGGGCAUAGAUCAUCCCAGGAGUUCCAACUUGAGCUACAUGCUGAGGUGGCAUAUAACCAUAAGGAAGUGCAUCAGCAGGCCCUCCAACAGGCAUUGCUUCCCUAGAUAUUGAUGCCAGUACUUCAUCUUUCAGAUCCUCCCUCGGCACAAUGUCAACUAAGAAAUCAAAAAUAUCAGUCCUAGUGAUGGCUGCUGC
rnacentral:misc_RNA from 1 species